rnacentral:rRNA from 1 species
AUUGAACGCUGGCGGCAUGCCUUACACAUGCAAGUCGAACGGUAACGCGGGGGCAACCCUGGCGACGAGUGGCGAACGGGUGAGUAAUACAUCGGAACAUACCCAGUAGCGGGGGAUAACCUAUCGAAAGAUUGGCUAAUACCGCAUACGAUCUACGGAUGAAAGCGGGGGACCGCAAGGCCUCGCACUAUUGGAGUGGCCGAUGUCAGAUAGCUAGUUGGUGGGGUAAAAGCCUACCAAGGCGACGGUCUGUAGCUGGUCUGAGAGGACGAUAAGCCACACUGGAACUGAGACACGGGCCAGACUCCUACGGGAGGCAGCAGUGGGGAAUUUUGGACAAUGGGCUCAAGCCUGAUCCAGCCAUGCCGCGUGAGUGAAGAAGGCCUUCGGGUUGUAAAGCUCUUUCGGUGAAGACGAAACGGUUAGUGUUAAUAACACUGACUAAUGACGGUACUCACAGAAGAAGCACCGGCUAACUACGUGCCAGCAGCCGCCGUAA